ACCGAGGUGAGCCACAGCGGAUCCGACUGCCCGACCGCCUCGUCGCCCAUCUGGUCGCCGUCGGUGACGACCCCGACGAUCUCCUCCUCGCCGUACUUGCCUUCCGCGUACCGGGUGAACCGGCCGUGCACCACCAGAUACGCCUCGGUGACCGGCUGACCGGCCUCGAACAGCACCUGCCCGGCGCGCACGUCGCGGCUCUGGAAGCGGCCGGCGAUCUCCGUCAGCACGUCCAGGUCGUCGUAGCCGCGCAGGAUCGGCAGUUCGGUGAGCGUGCGGGGGAUGACCCGGAUGUCGUCCCCGCCGUUCUGCUCGAAGCUCACCCGGCCGCGUCCGGUGCGCAGUUGGAGGCGCCGGUUGACCCGAUAGGCACCGCCCUUGACGUCCACCCACGGCAGUGUCUUCAGCAGCCACCGGGAAGUGAUGGCCUGCAUCUGCGGUUCGGUCUUGGUGGUCGUGGCGAGCUGACGUGCCGCUCGCGUGCUCAGGCUGGUGAG
rnacentral:antisense_RNA from 1 species